UACGAAGGGGGCUAGCGUUGCUCGGAAUCACUGGGCGUAAAGGGUGCGUAGGCGGGUUUUUAAGUCAGGGGUGAAAUCCUGGAGCUCAACUCCAGAACUGCCUUUGAUACUGAAGAUCUUGAGUCCGGGAGAGGUGAGUGGAACUGCGAGUGUAGAGGUGAAAUUCGUAGAUAUUCGCAAGAACACCAGUGGCGAAGGCGGCUCACUGGCCCGGUACUGACGCUGAGGCACGAAAGCGUGGGGAGCAAACAGGGAUUAAGCAA
rnacentral:rRNA from 1 species